GGCAUCGAAACUACAAUUUGUGGUGGAGCAUAUGCGAGCUUACCUCAUCACCCCUCUAGGGCUCUUCAUCUCCCUCCCAGGCUAAUCAGAAGUUGGAAGCAGUGACUAUAUUGAACUAAUCUAAACUGACUUUUUUUGUAAAUUGAUUAGAUAAUAUGUGGAAUUAAGGAUGUUUUCUUGAA